UGUGGUCCUUGUAACGAUGGUGUCUUUCGCCGUGCUCUGUGCUUUCUGCUUUGUCUCAGGCAUUAUAGCUCACACUGGGACCUCGGAAUGCAAGUCAAAGGGACAUCAAUGCAAACUAUGGCUUUUAUGUCGGAAGGAGGACAGACUAAAGCUUGGAGGCUGUCGGUUCUUGAGUGUUUGCUGCAGGAGAAAAUUCGAUACUUGCUCUUCAAGGAAAGGCACUUGCGAAAGCGUCGACCAACCAUGCUCCGGACAUGUGAACACGAUCCUCCCGUGCCCUAAAGGCAAAAGCUGCUGUGUCCCCAAGUGAUUUCCUGAUUUCCCGAAACAAAAAGGCGGACGCUUUCACAGGCGGACUUCGGUGGAUGACUUGCAAGGCGUUUUCCUGUGGAGCCUUUAUUUAUAAUACGGGAAAUAAAAUACCAACACUAG